rnacentral:rRNA from 1 species
AACGAACGCUGGCGGCAUGCCUAACACAUGCAAGUCGAACGAGAUCUUCGGGUCUAGUGGCGCACGGGUGCGUAACGCGUGGGAAUCUGCCCUUUGGUUCGGAAUGACAGUUGGAAACGACUGCUAAUACCGGAUGAUGACGAAAGUCCAAAGAUUUAUCGCCAGAGGAUGAGCCCGCGUAGGAUUAGCUAGUUGGUGUGGUAAAGGCGCACCAAGGCGACGAUCCUUAGCUGGUCUGAGAGGAUGAUCAGCCACACUGGGACUGAGACACGGCCCAGACUCCUACGAAAGGCAGCAGUGGGGAAUAUUGGACAAUGGGCGAAAGCCUGAUCCAGCAAUGCCGCGUGAGUGAUGAAGGCCUUAGGGUUGUAAAGCUCUUUUACCCGGGAUGAUAAUGACAGUACCGGGAGAAUAAGCUCCGGCUAACUCCGUGCCAGCCGCCGCCGUAA